rnacentral:piRNA from 1 species
UAAAUAUCUUAUCAUGUACUC